GAGUGGCGGACGGGUGAGUAAUACUUAGGGAUCUGCCCUGGGGCGGGGGACAACCAUUGGAAACGAUGGCUAAUACCGCAUAACGUCUACGGACCAAAGAGGGCUUCGGCUCUCGCCCCGGGAUGAACCUAAGCGAGAUUAGCUUGUUGGUGAGGUAAAGGCUCACCAAGGCGACGAUCUCUAGCUGUUCUGAGAGGAAGAUCAGCCACACUGGGACUGAGAC
rnacentral:rRNA from 1 species